AUCCAAUUCACUGUGGACAAGGUCUUGGAGCAACAUCACCAGGCUGCCAAGGCUCAGCAGAAACUACAGGCCUCACUCUCAGUGGCUGUGAACUCUAUCAUGAGUAUUCUGACUGGAAGCACUAGGAGCAGCUUCCGAAAGAUGUGUCUCCAGACCCUUCAAGCAGCUGACACACAAGAGUUCGGGACCAAACUGCACAAAGUAUUUCGUGAGAUCACCCAACACCAAUUUCUUCACCACUGCUCAUGUGAGGUGAAGCAGUUCCAGAUAAGUCAAUCGUACUGACUGGAGCCAAGAAAGCCAGAAAAGUGGGCUUCAGUUAGACAACUACUACCAGCUACAC
rnacentral:sRNA from 1 species